CACCUUUCAUCUUUUCCUAAAAGACAGAACCCUACUCAUUUCCUCUUUCCUUUUUCAAUACCUUAUACACGAACCUUUACUCAUCUUUGAGCUUAUGGCUUUCCUCUUUCUACUUCAAUACCUUUUAGUCGAACCUAUCUCCACUUGCUGCUUCUCCCUAAAUCAGUCAAGCUCUUCUCUUACACACACUCAAGUACAGUGGCAUAGAUUGGCCUCUUCUCGCCUCACACAGUUCAAAGUUCAGAUGUUUGGGUGGUAAUCAUUGACUUCCUAUUCUCGAUUAUCUAGUCCCUCUUUUGAUGUAUUGAUUAUUUAAGUAAGUUUUAUUGAUUAUACGUUUGUUUCGGCUUGAAUUAAUCUAAUUUAUAUAUGUUUAUGAGUAUCGAUUCUCAAUUUUGACAGGAAUAUUGAAUAUGUAUGCUUAGUACGCAUAAGCUAAUUGGUUGUUGAAGUUGAUUUAUGCUUUGAUUAACUUCAUAGUUAAGUAUAUAUGUACUGAAGGUAUUAAGUUAGACGAAUCAAUUACUGAUAGUCAGUGUCUCUUUCUGCUGGUUUAAGUUUGUUUUUACUGUUAGAAUCUUUUAACUUUUCUUUGUUAUCUAACCACUUCUCUCAUUCUAAUGGAUUGAUAUCAGGAGUUCAUAGCCUUUUCUCUUAAACUUUCUCUAUUGCUUUCAACGUUUGGAUCGGUAGACACUUUGAUUGUCUAUUUUUUUGUUGCUAAUUUUUUUUGCAACACUUUCAAUAUAUUGGCGAUUUUCUUGCAAGAGUAAUUUGGAGUAACUUUAUAUUAAUAACAAUUAUUUUCUUAUGUAUUAUUUUCAAAUGAAAUAAUAUUUAUUCUUAACUC